GUAGAUGACUCUGCAUAGGACAGCUCUAAGGAGGCCCCAGAGACUCCCAAGAGAUGACAUGAACAGCACAGGCUGGACAAGGCCAGGAACCAGAACAGGAUCUGGUUCUGAGGAAUACCUCACCAGGGGGCCAACAAUCUCUCAACCUCUCUCUCCCUCACCCCCUCAUGAGAUCAGAUGUCUCCAUGUAGCCCUGGCUAUCCUAGAACUCACUAUAUAGACCAGACCAACCUUGAACUCCCAGAGAUCUGCUCGCCCCUCCUCACUGCUUCGAUUAAGGGUGUGUGUCACUAUGUCCAGCUUGACAAUAACCUCUUGACAACCUUCCUAAUUCCAUUUUUGAACCAGUGUUAACCUGGAACCCACAACAGCUGGUGCAGAGUGAAAUCCCUCACCUGUGUGGAUCCUCGCAGCAGCACACGUGGAUCUGUUGUGUGAUGGGUAAAGAUUUCUCUGAGGAUUAAAUGGCUUGUCUUAGGUCACAUA